CACGUAGGGUGCAAGCGUUGUCCGGAUUUAUUGGGCGUAAAGAGCUCGUAGGCGGCUUGUUACGUCGACUGUGAAAACCCGCGGCUCAACCGUGUGGUCUGCAGUCGAUACGGGCAGGCUAGAGUUCGGUAGGGGAGACUGGAAUUCCUGGUGUAGCGGUGAAAUGCGCAGAUAUCAGGAGGAACACCGGUGGCGAAGGCGGCAUCCUGGACCGACACUGACGCUGAGGCGCGAAAGCUAGGGUAGCAAACGGG
rnacentral:rRNA from 1 species